UACGUAGGGUGCGAGCGUUAAUCGGAAUUACUGGGCGUAAAGCGUGCGCAGGCGGUUUUGUAAGCCAGGUGUGAAAUCCCCGGGCUCAACCUGGGAAUGGCAUUUGGGACUGCAAGGCUGGAGUGCGGCAGAGGAGACUGGAAUUCCUGGUGUAGCAGUGAAAUGCGUAGAUAUCAGGAGGAACACCGGUGGCGAAGGCGGAUCUCUGGGCCAUUACUGACGCUGAGGAGCGAAAGCGUGGGGAGCGAACAGG
rnacentral:rRNA from 1 species